GUGAGAUGGAAGAUGGCGAGAAAAGCUGUGUGGAUUUCUGAGGUGCCCGUACCGCAAACCGACACAGGUAGGUAGGAAGAAGAUUCUAAGGCCAACGGGAGAAGGGUUGUUAAGGAACUCGGCAAAUUGACCCCGUAACUUCGGGAGAAGGGGUGCUCCAGAGAUGGAGCCGCAGAGAAUCGGCCCAAGCAACUGUUUACCAAAAACACAGGUUUGUGCUAAAUCGAAAGAUGACGUAUACGAGCUGACGCCUGCCCGGUGCUGGAAGGUUAAGAGGAGAUGUGCAAGCAUUGAAUCGAAGCCCCAGUGAACGGCGGCCGUAACGAUAACGGUCCUAAGGUAGCGAAAUUCCUUGUCAGGUAAGUUCUGACCCGCAUGAAAGGCGUAAUGAUUUGGGCACUGUCUCAACAGCCCGCCCGGCGAAAUUGUAGUACCGGUGAAGAUGCCGGUUACCCGCGACAAGACGGAAAGACCCCAUGGAGCUUUACUGUAGCCUAAUAUUGGGUUUCGAUGUUGCAUGCACAGGAUAGAUGGGACUCUGGGAAACCAGUGCUUUGGCGCUGGCGGAGAGGCCGUUGGGAUACCAUCCUUGCGAUAUUGGAAUUCUAACCUGCGGCUCUGAAUCGAGUCGGGGGACAUUGUUAGGUGGGCAGUUUGACUGGGGCGGUCGCCUCCUAAAAAGUAACGGAGGCGUUCAAAGGUUCGCUCAGCUUGAACGGAAAUCAAGCAAAAGAGUGCAAACGCAGAAGCGAGCCUAACUGCGAGACUGACGGGUCGAGCAGUAACGAAAGUUGGAGUUAGUGAUCCGGUGGUAUGUGAGUGGAAAUGCCAUCGCUCAACGGAUAAAAGUUACCCUGGGGAUAACAGGCUGAUCUCCCCCAAGAGUCCACAUCGACGGGGAGGUUUGGCACCUCGAUGUCGGCUCAUCGCAUCCUGGGGCUGUAUUCGGUCCCAAGGGUUUGGCUGUUCGCCAAUUAAAGCGGUACGCGAGCUGGGUUCAGAACGUCGUGAGACAGUUCGGUCCCUAUCUGUCGUGGGCGCAGGAUAUUUGAUGGGAGCUGUCCCUAGUACGAGAGGACCGGGACGGACGUACCUCUGGCGCACCAGUUGUUCUGCCAAGAGCAUAGCUGGGCAACUACGUACGGAUCGGAUAAACGCUGAAAGCAUCUAAGCGUGAAGCCGACCCAAAGAUAAGAUAUCCCACUGUCUCAAACAGGUAAGAUCCCUUGAAGACUACAAGGUUGAUAGGCACGAUGUGUAAGUGGAGUGAUCCAUUCAGCAAGCGUGUACUAAUAGAUCGAGGGCUUGACC
rnacentral:rRNA from 1 species